AGAAAAUGUGGGUAAAAGAAGCGGGACACCAAAGGGAAGCCAAAAGUGGAGAAAAUGUGGGUAAGAGAAUCGGGACACGGAAGUGAAGUUGAAAUGUGGAGUUUGCAAAAAAAAAAAAAAAAGUAUUGGGACGCCUAUAAAUGGGAAAAA